AUGGUUGGAUUGUCAUAGACGCAUUUGGGAGCUGGAAAUAAUUAUGCCCUUUUCCAUGUGGAUCAGAGACCAAAGUGCCGUAGGAAAGAAGGAAGGAAUGAAGACAACAAAGCAGGAAGGCAGGCAGGAAGAAAAACACCUAUAAAAUCAAGGGCAGUAGAAACCACAGAAGAAAGCCAGAAAACCAGCCAGAUAGAUGGCUGCUGAAACAAUUCAAGAGAGACAUGAUGAUCUACUAUAAUGGCGGUGGAGAACAGAUAGAAGUUACUGUGAAGAUGAAAGGAGAUGAUGUGUGUAACACUCACAGACUGGGACCCAGGAUGUAUGCAUCAGAUUUUAGGGAAACAUUGGUCUUCUUUCUCACCAUGGUUCAAGGUCUUGGGAUGCCUCCAAGACACGCUGACAAAAAGUCCCAUGAUUUUGUAGCUUAGUGUGUUGUGCCACAAAAAAGCCUUCAAAAUUAUUAAAAUAAGUUUUCCCAUAACAAAAUAAGGGAUCUACAACUAAAUAGAAGUAUUAAUGAUUAUUUAAUACUUCAGAAAGAAUGAAAGAGAGGAGAGAUUUUCUAUACUUGGGGUCUAUGAAAUUCCCUUCUAUCCAUUAAAAAAAUAAAGAACUUUUAAAACAAGGUUGAAUAUGUUCCUCUUCUUCAUAACCAAGGUUCUCUAAGACAGAAAUAUUAACAGCAGAAAAAAUAUUGUGUUGAGAUUAAAUUAAGAAAAAUAUACAUAUAUAUGUACUUUUUUCCCCAGUUCAAAGGACGAUAAAAAAUAAACUACAUAUAUAUACCCCACAUAGAUAUAUAAAUAGUUAGAUAAAUAUAGAGAUAUAGAUAAUCUACUUUCAUGAUUUAUAAUAAGGACACAGAAAAAGGCUGGGAUGGCAGUGGGGAAUGAGCAGAGUCUGAAUUUCUGUACUCCAGCAUAGCACUUACACUAUGAGAAACAGUAUUAGCUAGAGCUAUGUUAGUGCAAUUGUUAAAAGCUCUGUAUUUUACAUGAAAACUUGAGCCAUUGAAAAUAACAGAAUUAGCUAGAACUGGCAUCAAGCCUUAAUGCCAGAAUGUAACCAGUCCACAGAGGUAGGAAGAUGUUCUUAGGCAGGGACCCAAAAAGAGGACUGACACAUAAUAAAGGAUCAGGAUAAUACAAGGCUAAUAAAAAAGAGAAAAGGGACUGAUGCUUUGCUAUUUCUGAGUAAGGAAUUCUUCUAGAUUCUUAGUGAGAAGGAAUUAAGGUAAAGCCAAAGCGAUACGUAGUAUUUAUGCUUUGUUGUAUAUAUUAUGGUUUAUGCAGCUUUUAAAUAAACUAUAUGUAGUUCAUUCUGUCUACGAUGGUAGCAAUAAUAGCUAUUAUUUAUUGAUGUCUUAUUAUAUACUUGAUGUUCAGCGAGGUAUUACAUAUGUCCACAUCUCUUUGCUCACAUGACUCCAAGCUGGCAUAGGCCUCUUCCCUGCAUCCAUCCUUCCAAGAGCAGAAAGCGUAUACCUGCUGGUGUAUGCUCCUUCAUUUCAAGGAGUUGCAAAGGAGUCUUAUAUAUAAAAGUGUGGAUGGAGCUUGGACAUGUGGGUGGAGGUGUCCAUUGGCAUAUGAACUGAGGCCCUUUGUAGUAUGGAUGGGAAGAGACAGAAGGUGGGCUGGGGGCUGGUUCUCCUACACUGCCACAGUCCAUCAUUAAACUUUGAAGAGUCCAAUAAUUCUAAACUAGAACCAUACCAUCUGGGUUUUAAUGAAAUUUGUCAAAGGUGGUAAGGGAUAAAAAAGACUUUAUUUAACAGUUAGCUUGAUUUUUAUAACCAUGAAGUAUUUAGCCAUAGGACACACGGUCCUCUAUUUGUACCCUUUUUCGGGGACUAUAAAUUCAGAGGUAGGUUUAGCACCUAGCACAGUGUCUG
rnacentral:lncRNA from 10 species